rnacentral:pre_miRNA from 1 species
UUUCUGGUGGAUGUCGGAAUUAGAAGUGGCUCCCAAAGGAGAACCACUUCUAAGUCCGACCUCCACUAGAAGGA